AAUUUUUGCUUUUGGAUGCAUUUUUGAUUCUCUCAUUCUCAAAUAUGUUGGAGAUCUGUGAGGAAAAUUGCAUGGAAGUUUUCAGGCUACUAGAUGAGUGAUUUGCAAAGAUAGCAGUAUCAAAUGUUUCUAGUUGUACAUAGAUGUGCAUAGAUUGUGUAAGGCACAAUAGUGAGCCGGGUUGAAAAGGUGAAAGAUAAUAACAAAUAUUUAAGAUUUGAAACAUAAGGAAAUAGCCUCUAUAGAAAUAUGUGUGGCACCUUUUUUUCCAAUUAUUCAAGAAAAAUGUAGUCUUUGACUGAAAUCAACAUUUUAUUUGGCCAUUAGUCAAUUUAUCAUCAGAUAGGCUUUGUAAUGGCCUGUCACAGCAGAUUAUGAUGUACAAAAAGACCAAAUGUAGAAUUCAGGAAGUGUCUCUUUUUUUAAGUUUAUUCAGGCCAAAUAAAACAUUCAUUACAAAAAAUGUGGUUCUAAAACAACACUUUUCCCUGAAUCUAGCAUUAGUCAUAUCACUAAAUAUUAUGCAGUGCUAUUAACAUAGAACACAAUUUAAAUCACAGAGCUCUCCUAAAUUUUCUAUUUACUUGGAGAAGCUGCUUUAACCCUGCAUCAAAUAUCUGUCUGUGACACAGAACUGCAGAUGGUUCUAAAGACAAUCAGAAGUGUAUUUGUUCAGUUAUAGCAAUAGUGAAGAUCCUUUAGCUCUUAUUCAUGGGUGUGUAUUCCUUGGUGGAUAAAGCAACGCAUCUGGAAAUGGUAAAGCUUAGUAAUGAAGAGUUAGCAGAUUCUCUGCUUGCUUGAAUGUUCAUUUGAACUUGGAAACUGUAUUGCUGCUUGGCUAUAGAGCUACUCCAUUCUCAUCGUAUAAAUGUCUGUGCAGUGUUGAAGGACAGGGAGAUUGGAGUCCUCACCUUAUCUUUUACAGAAAUGGAUGUUUUCAGAUGGUAGAUGUGUCAUUAAUCUGUGAUGGGUGGGUGUCCUACUCAUGCAUGUAUUUACACACAAGUGUCUGAAUUAGUACAGGGGAGAAGGAGAUUUUUAUUUUUUUCCCUAUCAAAUUGAGCUGUGGAUGGAUUAUGAGGCUGGGAUAGUGUGAUUUGUGUAAUAGAGCUGUACAGGUUGGACUUCAAGAGAUUGUACUCACAGCGUGAUGACAAGUGCAGCCUGGUUCGUGACCAGAAAGGCAAGACUGUAUUGACAGAGGAAGGGAAGAAGUAUGUUGUCCUUUGCCCUUCAGAGUCAUGAUUUCAUGUGUAACUUGCAUGGUGCAACUGAUGUUCCUUCGGCUAGGCACCUUUGGGUUUCUCCUUCGUCUCCAUCUCCAUCAAAUACCUACAACAGUGGGAUGCUGAGGGGGUAAAUUUACUCUUAACACCAUAGAAGAAGACUGCUGCAGGCUGCUAUGUCAUAUGUGUAUUGGAUACAAGACAGGUCAUCUAUAAUGAUGUGGCUAAAAGUUUCAGAUUUAUAAUAAAAAGCACUUGAUGGAGACUGUGGUAAAUAUACAAGAAAUUCAGACACAGGGAAGUUGAAGAUCAGCUCAAGCUUCUGGCUGCUCCAAGACUCAGAGAACUCUUGCUAAAGUAACCAUCUCUAAGGAGGCAGGGGGUUAGUUUAUUCUCUUGUCUUCAACACCAGCUCCAGCAGCAUCGACACCAACUCCAUUAAAUCAUCCACAGGUUGAGCAGGGCCAAGCACUUGGUGGUAAUGGAUUAACUUCGGAGCUGAAGCUACACUGAUGCCCAGUAAUAAGCCCCGACUUCCAACUGCCACAUCAGAAGGAGGAAGGUCGUGUUUAGUAUUUGGCAAUGCUGUGUAAAUGUCUUGGAUAUCAUAGGCCAAGCUGGCACUAGACAUCUAUGCUUAACAGCUGGUUUGUGUGCUGAGAGGUCUGCUUCAGAGUGAGGUAAGCAGAUCUCUAGACUCCACUGACUGUAACUAAAGCUUGGAUCACACAUCCUUUUUGGUGUUACUACGGGUGGAUAAACUCAUCAUGAGAACUACCCAGUAGUGAAAAAUACAUGUUUAUGCUGUUUUUCCUCUUGGCUAGGCCAGUUCUGAGUUAGGUCUGGGGCUGGCAGCUUACCUAGUGGCUUCUGUGAAAUGUGCAUGUGGUUCAGUGUUUACUGGACAAAUAUGUGCAUCAGAAAAUAUUCUGCCUUACUGCCACACUGGCUGGCAAAGGCCAGUGCCUGGUAGUGAAAACGUGAGCCCAGGUGAGACAAAUGCUAUAUGACCUACACAUCUGAGAGAUGUUUUCUUCACAAGUGGCUUUCUGGCACAGGAGCAAAGUGUUUCCCUCCAGCCUUCUGUGCCUCCUCUGUGCCUGGAGAGAGAAGAGCUCUGAGAGUAUGGCUGUGACAUUUGAACAGGACAUGAACUGUGCAGAUACAUGUAGUAUACAUCUAAAGUGUGGUUUUCAGUACAUGGUGAUUUUUAAAACAGCUUAAUGUUCUCUUUAAUGCGUUUUGCAGUUCUAGCACCUCUUCUACACGUUGCACAGUAGUAGCACAUUUUGGUGUCUGCUGUAAUAUGGCUAGUAUUUUAGUCACGUGUUUCUGAUUUUCGUGGAGUAUUAAGUGGGUUUAUCUUGCAGAGAUACACAAACUAUCUUUUAAAAUGAAUGGUAAAAGUGA